rnacentral:tRNA from 1 species
GUCCCUAUAGCUCAGUAGAUUAACAGCGUGUUCUAUGCUUGCCAGUGUAGAAUAUCCGGUAACGGGUUAAUUGGGUCAGAGCGCUUGCCUGAUAAGCAAGAGGUCGCCGGUUCGAAUCCGGUUAGGGGCG